UACGGAGGAUGCGAGCGUUAUCCGGCUUUAUUGGGUUUAAAGGGUGCGUAGGCGGACUGUUAAGUCAGCGGUAAAAGCCCGGGGCUCAACCCCGGCGAGCCGUUGAAACUGGCUGUCUUGAGAUGUCGAGAGGUAUGCGGAAUGCGUGGUGUAGCGGUGAAAUGCAUAGAUAUCACACAGAACACCGAUUGCGAAGGCAGCUUUCCAAGCUAUUACUGACGCUGAGGCACGAAAGCGUGGGGAGCGAACAGG
rnacentral:rRNA from 1 species